rnacentral:rRNA from 1 species
CCCGCUGAACUUAAGCAUAUCAAUAAGCGGAGGAAAAGAAACCAACAGGGAUUGCCUCAGUAACGGCGAGUGAAGCGGCAACAGCUCAAAUUUGAAAUCUGGCCUUCUGGUCCGAAUUGUAAUUUGUAUAGAGAAGCAUCGAACAUGGUCUGGUGUAAGUUCCUUGGAACCAGGACGUCAUAGAGGGUGAGAAUUCCGUAUGCCAACGGGUGCCUAAGUUCAUGUGAAGCUCCUUCAACGAGUCGAGUUGUUUGGGAAUGCAGCUCAAAAUGGGUGAGUAGAAUUUCAUCUAAAGCUAAAUAUUGAGCCAGAGACCGAUAGCGCACAAGUAGAGUGAUCGAAAGAUGAAAAGCACUUUGGAAAGAGAGUUAAAUAGUUCGUGAAAUUGUUGAAAGGGAAGCGCUUGCAAUCAGACUUGCAUGCAGUUGAUCAUCUGAUGUUCUCUCCAGUGCACUCAUCUGCAUUCAGGCCAGCAUCGGUUUUGGUGGUUGGACAAAGGCCCUGGGAAUGUAGCUUCUUUCGGGGAGUGUUAUAGCCCAAGGUGCAAUGCAGCCUACCAGGACUGAGGACCGCGCUUCGGCUAGGAUGCUGGCGUAAUGGUUGUAAGCGACCCGUCUUGAAACACGG